GAAAAUACUAGUGAAAGCAUAAAUCAUGUUAAAAUAUAACUGUCAAUGCAAAAGUUUGUCUUGAAAACCGUAGCAUUCUUUUCUAACAACAGUAUCAUUUUAUUGGAAUUGAAGCAUAAUGUUGUAAACCUCUGUUCCUCUCCUAUUUCGCCAAAACCCCAUUUCUUUUCAAAAGCAUACAAUUUGAACGUUGAUGUAUAGAAACCAUCUACGACCAUGGUUGACGUAAUUAUGAGAUGUAUCGUGGAGUUUACUUCUGAUUAAUUAACUUUUUUUUGGGUUUAGGGCAGAUCUAAUUUUCCUUUUUUCACCAGGGUUACUGUUGAUAUAAAGAAUUCAGUCA
rnacentral:misc_RNA from 1 species